rnacentral:tRNA from 1 species
GCGGAAGUAGGUCAGUGGUAGAACAUCCCCUUGCCAUGGUGGGGGUCGCGGGUUCGACUCCAGUCUUCCGCG